rnacentral:rRNA from 1 species
CCUACGGGAGGCAGCAGUGGGGAAUAUUGGGCGAUGGACGCAAGUCUGACCCAGCAACGCCGCGUGAAGGAAGAAGGCUUUCGGGUUGUAAACUUCUUUUAAGGGGGAAGAGCAGAAGACGGUACCCCUUGAAUAAGCCACGGCUAACUACGUGCCAGCAGCCGCGGUAAUACGUAGGUGGCAAGCGUUGUCCGGAUUUACUGGAUGUAAAGGGCGUGCAGCCGGAGAGACAAGUCAGAUGUGAAAUCCACGGGCUCAACCCGUGAACUGCAUUUGAAACUGUUUCCCUUGAGUGUCGGAGAGGUAAUCGGAAUUCCUUGUGUAGCGGUGAAAUGCGUAGAUAUAAGGAAGAACACCAGUGGCGAAGGCAGCAUACCGGCGCCCGACUGACGCUGAGGCACGAAAGCGUGGGGAUCGAACAGGAUUAGAUACCCCAGUAGUC